rnacentral:rRNA from 1 species
GCUUGCUACCUGACCUAGCGGCGGACGGGUGAGUAAUGCUUAGGAAUCUGCCUAUUAGUGGGGGACAACAUUCCGAAAGGAAUGCUAAUACCGCAUACGCCCUACGGGGGAAAGCAGGGGAUCUUCGGACCUUGCGCUAAUAGAUGAGCCUAAGUCAGAUUAGCUAGUUGGUGGGGUAAAGGCCUACCAAGGCGACGAUCUGUAGCGGGUCUGAGAGGAUGAUCCGCCACACUGGGACUGAGACACGGCCCAGACUCCUACGGGAGGCAGCAGUGGGGAAUAUUGGACAAUGGGCGAAAGCCUGAUCCAGCCAUGCCGCGUGUGUGAAGAAGGCCUUUUGGUUGUAAAGCACUUUAAGCGAGGAGGAGGCUACUUGGAUUAAUACUCUAGGAUAGUGGACGUUACUCGCAGAAUAAGCACCGGCUAACUCUGUGCCAGCAGCCGCGGUAAUACAGAGGGUGCGAGCGUUAAUCGGAUUUACUGGGCGUAAAGCGUGCGUAGGCGGCUUUUUAAGUCGGAUGUGAAAUCCCUGAGCUUAACUUAGGAAUUGCAUUCGAUACUGGGAAGCUAGAGUAUGGGAGAGGAUGGUAGAAUUCCAGGUGUAGCGGUGAAAUGCGUAGAGAUCUGGAGGAAUACCGAUGGCGAAGGCAGCCAUCUGGCCUAAUACUGACGCUGAGGUACGAAAGCAUGGGGAGCAAACAGGAUUAGAUACCCUGGUAGUCCAUGCCGUAAACGAUGUCUACUAGCCGUUGGGGCCUUUGAGGCUUUAGUGGCGCAGCUAACGCGAUAAGUAGACCGCCUGGGGAGUACGGUCGCAAGACUAAAACUCAAAUGAAUUGACGGGGGCCCGCACAAGCGGUGGAGCAUGUGGUUUAAUUCGAUGCAACGCGAAGAACCUUACCUGGUCUUGACAUAGUAAGAACUUUCCAGAGAUGGAUUGGUGCCUUCGGGAACUUACAUACAGGUGCUGCAUGGCUGUCGUCAGCUCGUGUCGUGAGAUGUUGGGUUAAGUCCCGCAACGAGCGCAACCCUUUUCCUUAUUUGCCAGCGGGUUAAGCCGGGAACUUUAAGGAUACUGCCAGUGACAAACUGGAGGAAGGCGGGGACGACGUCAAGUCAUCAUGGCCCUUACGACCAGGGCUACACACGUGCUACAAUGGUCGGUACAAAGGGUUGCUACCUAGCGAUAGGAUGCUAAUCUCAAAAAGCCGAUCGUAGUCCGGAUUGGAGUCUGCAACUCGACUCCAUGAAGUC